rnacentral:rRNA from 1 species
CAAAAAUGAAAAGUGCUUACUGCAUUUUUUCUUACACAUGUGUUUUUCUUUUUUUGAAAACUUUGCUUUGGUAGGCCUUCUAUAUGGGGCCUGCCAGAGAUUAAACUCAACCAAAUUUUAUUUAAUGUCAACCGAUUAUUUAAUAGUCAAAACUUUCAACAACGGAUCUCUUGGUUCUCGCAUCGAUGAAGAACGCAGCGAAAUGCGAUAAGUAAUAUGAAUUGCAGAUAUUCGUGAAUCAUCGAAUCUUUGAACGCACAUUGCGCCCUUUGGUAUUCCAAAGGGCAUGCCUGUUUGAGCGUCAUUUCUCCCUCAAACCCUCGGGUUUGGUGUUGAGCGAUACGCUGGGUUUGCUUGAAAGAAAGGCGGAGUAUAAACUAAUGGAUAGGUUUUUUCCACUCAUUGGUACAAACUCCAAAACUUCUUCCAAAUUCGACCUCAAAUCAGGUAGGACUACCCGCUGAACUUAAGCAUAUCAAUAAGCGGAGGAA